rnacentral:rRNA from 1 species
CGGCCUACGGGGGGCAGCAGUGAGGAAUAUUGGUCAAUGGGCUUACGCCUGAACCAGCCAAGUCGCGUGAGGGAAGACUGCCCUAUGGGUUGUAAACCUCUUUUGUCAGGGAGCAACGCCGGCUACGUGUAGCCGGACUGAGAGUACCUGAAGAAAAAGCAUCGGCUAACUCCGUGCCAGCAGCCGCGGUAAUACGGAGGAUGCGAGCGUUAUCCGGAUUUAUUGGGUUUAAAGGGUGCGUAGGCGGGCCUUCAGGCCGGCGGUAAAAUUGCGGGGCUCAACCCCGCCG